AUGAGCUAUCUAAUUUUUGCUGUUGUUUGCAGACUUUGUGCGCCUCAGAUAUCUGGUAAUCCAUCCAAUUUCGAUGCAGCACUAGCAUUUGCGAACCUAUCCCUGGGCCAACCGGGAUCCCAGCAAAUGGCUCCACAGGAGCUGAUGCAGAACAACUAUGGUACACCUGCAAUGAGAGUACCAUCUCUGCACCAACCUGGACCAGCGCAACUCACUCCACAGGGGCUGAUGCAGAACAGAGAAGUGCUGCCCACAGUAGAUAUCAAAGGAAAGGGACCUGCAUUAGGAGUAGGCCAGCAAGAACUGCGGGUCCAUGUCGCUUGUUUGAUGGCAGAUGACGGCACUACAGGUGCUGCGGGAUUGUUGAUCAAGAGGGAAACGUGGCAGUUCAUCUGCGCGUUAUGUUUUCCGAUGCGGAGCACGGAGGAGACGGUUCUUUUUGCAGCUGCUUGUUGUGAAGGGAUCAAAGUUGCUCUGGCCUAUCAACCUACUAGCAUUGUGCUGGAGUCCCAUCUAUUCCAUCUGGUCGACCUGCUACUUGGCGGCGCUCAAGCUCCCUGCCGAGAUAUGGAAGAGUUGACGGCAUUACUGCAGCUCUCACGUUGCAGAGUGCAGCACAUCACGGAAGAUUCCAAUGGCGCUGCUCGUCGACUGGCCAUGCAUUGUUUGCUGAGAGAGGAGGCCGAGAUAUACUUCAGUGCUCCUGAUUGGCUUGUCCUUACUUAG
rnacentral:rRNA from 1 species